rfam:Myotis brandtii contig272133, whole genome shotgun sequence.
GGCUGGGUAGCUCAGUUGGUUAGAGCAUCGCCCUGAUAUGCCAAGGAUGUGGGUUCGAUUCCCAGUCAGGGCA